AACGAACGCUGGCGGCAGGCCUAACACAUGCAAGUCGAACGAAGUCUUCGGACUUAGUGGCGCACGGGUGAGUAACACGUGGGAAUAUACCUUACGCUGGGGGAUAACAUCGGGAAACUGAUGCUAAUACCGCAUACGCCCUUCGGGGGAAAGAUUUAUCGGCGAAAGAUUAGCCCGCGUCCGAUUAGCUAGUUGGUGAGGUAAUGGCUCACCAAGGCUCCGAUCGGUAGCUGGUCUGAGAGGAUGACCAGCCACACUGGGACUGAGACACGGCCCAGACUCCUACGGGAGGCAGCAGUGGGGAAUAUUGGACAAUGGGCGCAAGCCUGAUCCAGCCAUGCCGCGUGAGUGAUGAAGGCCUUAGGGUUGUAAAGCUCUUUCACCCACGACGAUGAUGACGGUAGUGGGAGAAGAAGCCCCGGCUAACCUCGUG
rnacentral:rRNA from 1 species